rnacentral:rRNA from 1 species
GAUUAACGCUGGCGGCGCACAUAAGACAUGCAAGUCGAACGGACUUAACCGAAAGUUUACUUUUGGAGCGGUUAGUGGCGGACGGGUGAGUAACGCGUAAGCAACCUGCCCUUCAGAUGGGGACAACAGCUGGAAACGGCUGCUAAUACCGAAUACGUUCUUUUUGUCGCAUGGCAGAGAGAAGAAAGGGAGGCUCUUCGGAGCUUUCGCUGAAGGAGGGGCUUGCGUCUGAUUAGCUAGUUGGAGGGGUAACGGCCCACCAAGGCGACGAUCAGUAGCCGGUCUGAGAGGAUGAACGGCCACAUUGGGACUGAGACACGGCCCAG